rnacentral:rRNA from 1 species
GACGAACGCUGGCGGCGUGCUUAGCACAUGCAAGUCGAACGGAAAGGCCCUGCUUUUGUGGGGUGCUCGAGUGGCGAACGGGUGAGUAACACGUGAGUAACCUGCCCUUGACUUUGGGAUAACUUCAGGAAACUGGGGCUAAUACCGGAUAGGAGCUCCUGCUGCAUGGUGGGGGUUGGAAAGUUUCGGCGGUUGGGGAUGGACUCGCGGCUUAUCAGCUUGUUGGUGGGGUAGUGGCUUACCAAGGCUUUGACGGGUAGCCGGCCUGAGAGGGUGACCGGCCACAUUGGGACUGAGAUACGGCCCAGACUCCUACGGGAGGCAGCAGUGGGGAAUAUUGCACAGUGGGCGGAAGCCUGAUGCAGCAACGCCGCGUGCGGGAUGACGGCCUUCGGGUUGUAAACCGCUUUCGCCUGUGACGAAGCGUGAGUGACGGUAAUGGGUAAAGAAGCACCGGCUAACUACGUG